AAGAUCACCUGUGCCCUUCAGUCAUAAGAUGCAGGGGCAUUUUAGAGGCAUCUAUUUCUCCAUUUCUUAUUUGUUUUUUUUUUUUUUUUCAGAAUCUUAGGUAGUUCAGCCUGACCUCAAAUCACUAUCUAUCCGAGGACAACUUGAGACGUCUGAUCCUCCCUCCCUCCCAAGAGAACUCCAGUUUGGUUCCUGAAACCCACAUCAGGAAGCUCACAGCCACCUGUGAGUCCAACUCCAUGGGAUCCAACAGCCUCUUCUGGACUCUGCCAGUACCCUACACAUGUGGCAUAUACACAGAGGCCUGAGUGCAAACUGAAGGGCAGUGGGAGUGAAUUCUCUACGGGGAUGCUACCAGUGUGUGGAAGAGAAGUCAGACAUGACCACAAAAUUCAACCUCCAAAAUUUUGUGCUUCAUCUGCAAAAUGAGAAUAAUGCUGUGUGCCCUUGAGAGGCCUGGCUUUCUACCAUCUGAACUCAGGCUCCUCCCCCUGAACAUCUCUGAAACCUGUUCUCCCUGGGCUGAGAUCAUAGCUCCCCUACAGUGCUCAGAGUGGGGGUGGGGAGGAAAAAUGUUAUCCACCCAACAUCCGAAGUUAUCUUCUCCCAAAUUUCAAAGGAAGAGCUAUGCUCCAGUUGCAUGAUGGUCAGUGGAACCGUAGGGGGUAUGGCUUGUCUUCCUGAGGAAUGAGGGCACUGUCUGACGAUACUUUUGUUUUAUCGUAAGUUGGAGCAAGGGAAGUUAUUGGCCCUUGACAAGUAGCAAUCAGGAACACUGAACCCUAGAGUACACCAGUCAGCCCUCACAGCAAAUAUUCCAUCUAUCAGUUGCAAGGUAGAAACACUCACAGAAUAGAACAGCUUCAGCCUUGAUCCCUCUCUGCCUCUACCUUUUGUGUGAUGUUAGAUAGGGCACUUCAUUACUCUGGACCACAUUUAGUGUCCUGAGUCGUAGGAUAAGAUGGUUUGACUUGAUGGUCUAAAUGGCCUGUCAUUCUCGAAGUCUUUGCGUACGGUGUUGAGUCUCCCAAGUCAAAGCAAGCAUCCCCAUCUCCGUUCCCUCAACUAUAAAAUAGGACUGAAUAUCCUUACUUCAUUGCUCCUACUAUGGUAUGAGAGGAAAAGUUAACUAACAAUUAUAAAAUUGUCUUA
rnacentral:lncRNA from 1 species